GCCGAUGAUGAUAAGACCUAUCUGAAAUAUGAUGAACCCUAUGAGUACUGAGG
rnacentral:snoRNA from 1 species